UUUUUUACAAUCAUCACGCUUCUAGCUACUAGGAGACCGGGCUACCUCAACUGCCAUUGUUCCAUCACUUGCUCUCCGAUUGGCACGUGUCUGGUUAUCCUUUCAACCAUUAAUGUUUGAAGUGAACCGCUUCCACUUUGCUCAUCUAUAAAUAUAGAAUACCACAUUUCUUCAACUUUUUCCACUCUAAAACUUCUCUUAACAAAGAAAAAGUUCCUCUUAAACUCUUCAUAUUCCACAAAACAAAACCUAGUUUUUCUCUCUUCAAAUCCACUACAUCAAUGGCGUCUUCUACCAAAACUAAUAAAGAUUCAACAAAGGCCACAAAAGAGUCAAAGAAAUCAUCUGGUCUUGCUCCAGUUCACAAAGUAUUAGGACCAAACACUGUGGGUAACCAACAAUACAUACCCGAGCCUCCACUUGCUGAAGAAAAAAGAAUAAUCUACCAAUUGCAGGUAUUAAUUCCUAUUUCUAUUUCUGGUAAAACGCAUGCUAUGUUAGGACCCUUAUCAUAUACAACUGCAAAUCUUGAUAGCCUCAUGUAAUUUUUCCCAACAUACCAUCGUUACAAACCCAUAGAUAAUGGGAAGAAACCUAGGGCUAGUGAUGAAAUUGAAACUGCUGAAAACCCACAUCCUGACAACCAAAGUACGCCUUCGAUAGAAAAACCCAUAGACCAAGACUAUAUGAACAAUGGUUUUAGGGUAUUUCGAUCUUGACCUUUAUUCAAGGAUCCCUCAUAUUAUCUAGGCUGGUUAAGAAAUAUAGAAAAUAAGAAAUCCCAAGUCUGGAUAAACAUGGGUAUCUUCGACAUGAUUCAAUUGUCGAAGGUUGGACCUGGGUAUUUCCAGACUAUGUUAGUUUCUUCUUUGUAUUUUUGGGAUAACACCCACAACAAUUUUCAUUUUCCUUGUGGUAUGAUGACACCCACACUUUUCGACAUCGCUACUAUCAUUAGGCUCAAACCAACUGGGGAAACUUAUGAUCCAAACCUUAUGGCUGAAGAUACCAUUUUUUCGACACUACUAAAGUUUCUUUCACCACUUACAUAACAUUCUACCAUGAUAAAAACUUUUUCGAAGUAUCUGACCAAAAACACAUUUCUUUUCUCACCCUCUGGCUGUCUCGCUUCGUAUUUUGCUCAAAGUCUCUUCAAGUAGAAAAGAAAUUCCUAACUAUGGCGAACCAACUUCAUGAUGGACAUAACCUUUGUCUCAACAAAAUGAUCUUGGGCAACCUGUAUGAGUCCCUAGGGGAAGGUGCAACAACUCUCAAGAACAUUUAACCCAAAGGAAACCUACUAUUUUCUGGUCCUUUAUGGCUGCUACAACUAUGGUUGAAUGCUACCUCCAAAGCAUCUUUGCCAAUUCGAAAUCCCAUAAAUGCAGAGGCUGAAGAGAUUAGAAAUAUAAGGGUCGAAGGAACGCGCCUUGGUCUGCUGACUCCCAAUGACGAAGGAAUGAAUAUGCAACAAACAUUCACUGGCUAUGUAAUAAUGUUCACUAAACGCUAUAACUUCACUCCAUCCAUGACUCAUUUCACCCACAGGAUGCAUGGCCCUGAGUGGUUCAUAAGAAAGUUACUUGCUUCAUCGAAAGACCAAGAAGUGGAAUCCCUUGUCAUCUGGGAGGCAUCUCUCACCCCUAGGUUACUACUAACCAGGUUCAGGCAAUCGAGGAACCAAUUCACCCUCGUGAGCUACCAACCCAAUCUUGUCUCUCGAUAAUUUAGACUUAUUCAAAUUAUGCCAGAACCAUUAUUCGCCAAAAAGAACUCCCUCAUCCUCUACAAUAUGAUACAUACAUAAGCCCAAAGUGACAAGCUAAUAGCUUGAUACUCAGGAAAACACAAAUUACUCAUGUUGCAUUCAAGCCAUACUUUCUUUGCACCCAAUAGUUUGAUACUUGGUGGAGAAAUUAUUACACUGAAGAAGUUUUCGAUGUUUUUGCUUUUACUCAACAUUUGACUAAAGCUUUUACCUCUGUAAAGGAUAACGCCAAGAAAGGUACUUCAACUCAUGUCAAAGAAAUCCAAGCAUUACUAAGGUACUUUGAAACUGCAUAUAUACUUGAUGAUCUUAGUCGAACCAUUCUUGAAGCAGCAGUUACUAUAAAAGAGAAAAUUUCAAAGAAAAUGGAGAAUUUAAAACUGCAUUCGCUUGUUAAACUUGAAUAAUGGUAUGAACUAGCUUUUAACAUGCAUCCCCUAGAAUUUACUUGACUUCCCGGUGCUGACUUCGGUGUGGCUUUUAUCCAUUUGUUCCCAAACUAGUUCAUCUAUGGGGAUUUUGUAAAAAUCAUUCGACAAGAAUCACAAAAACGUGUCCAACGAGUGGUUCCGACUAAGCAUACUCUGGAAAGUUUCAAAGGACAUCUUCAUAUUGGCAUAUAACAUGUUUGCAUAGAGUCUCCAAUAUACGAAAGUGUGGAGUGGGAGGUUCUUCGACUUUAUUUCUCAAUUCCUUAAUUUUCUCUUAUUUGUGAUAGUUAUCUUGGUUUUAUUUCAACUGUGAAAAUACCUGCCAAGAAAGUUACUUCCACAAACAAAGAUGUCGUCAAAGAGAAAGAUGAAGGAAACACCAACAAAAUAAUAACAACAAAGAUACACUCAAUAUAUUGUUUUUUGUGCAUUGCCUUCAUGUCUUUUUAUUGUUUUGAGACGUCUUUUCUAUCAGGCAAGUCGAAAACCACCACCAACGCCCAAAAACGAAAGCAAAGGGAACCCCAAGUUCAAAUGACCAAAUUAGACGAUGAUGAUCUCUCACCGGAUACCACAAAACCAACCAAGAAGAAAAAGAAGCCAAUAAAGACCUUUGAUGCUCUUUCCCAACAAAAAAUAAAAGUUGCCAAGACCCCAACGAAGAUAACUUCUACUCCAAGGGUAUCUUUCCCUGACCCUGAACCACAAUAAAAAAGGACUCUGGAACAACUUGAAAGCGACAAUUCCAGCCUUGGGGCUGAAGGUCCUAAGGUAAAAAAAACUUUACCUUAAUUUCUUAAGUUAUUAAUUAUUUCUUUUGGUUUCCGACUCAUCCAUGUUUGAUUUAUUUUUUCAGGGGGUCGCAAAUGGCACAAAGCAACCAAACACCAAACAAGUAAUCCCAGUAAGCAGUAGUGAUCAUUCUUAUCACCCCACCAACACUCCCUCUUAUCACCCCACUAUCACUCCCUUUAAUCAUCCAACAUAUCCCAAAGAUUCGACAAAAGAGUCUACAGAUGAAGUGGACAAGCUUAUUUAAGAAAUGCAAAAGGAUCAUACCAAUGAUUAUGAGCAUGAGGAUGAAAAGGAGAAAAAUGCCCAUGUUGAGGGGGGAGUGAAUGAGGAGAUGCAGAAUGUUGACGAUGUGUCAAAGACAUAUCUGAAGAUGACUAUUCAACAAUUACAAACCCAGGAACUGAUGGUCCAGAUGACGAAGAAGAAGAGGAUCAUUAUAUGUCCAACCUUCACACGAAGCCUGCUGAGGAUGAAGAUGAGGAACAAGAUAAUGAACCAGAGAAUGAGCAAAACAAAGACAUGCCCAAGACCAACCCAACUUCUGAUGCUGCCAAAAGGACCAUAACACCUUCGACCAGAAACACUGCUGCCCUCUCUCUAGAAGAGUUCCAAGCGCUGAAAAAGAGAAAACCAGUGGAAUACCUGAAAGCCAUUAUCAAUGUAAGGGGUAGCUCGACUAAGAAAAGCCCUAGUACUUCAACAAUGUCAGGUGGCCAAUCUAUAAGCAAAUAUGGUGAUUAAUUAUUCCUCAAAAUCAAAGAAAAAGCCUUUGACAUUGAUCUGUUCCAACUCUUGGAGAAAGACACUACUGCUUGCUUUGGGAUCAAAGAUCUUUUAAAAUAAGUGUACGUCUUGAAUGCUUCCCUAGAAGUUGAAAAUGUUAUCAUGGAUUUAGGGUUGUUAAUCGAUCAAGUUGUUGCAAAAAUUAAUCGUAUAAGGGAAGCUUCGAACAAAAUCCAAAAUAAAUUAGAGACCCAAGCAGCCGAAUGGGACACCGCCAUCGAAUCUACUACAAAAGUUACAGAAUUGGAGAAGGGUUCUGAGCAGAACCAAAAGGAGGUUGAAGCUUGUGACAAAAAUAUAGAAGCUUGGGAGAAACAUAUAAAGAAAUUGCAAGCCAAGACUACCAAGACCAAAGAGUGCAAAGAUGAACUUCAAAAGCUUGAUCAAGAUGAACUGACCAAGGAAAUCCAAGUUGGCAUGCAUCACGUCGAAAGGUCUCAAAAAUUGGAAAAGGAAUUUGCCGACCUCAUUUCAAACAAAUUUGUUUAUGAACGACGCUUGAGACUUUAAAAGUCGAAGCACCGACCUAUAAUUUUCCAAAUAUUUCCUGUUUACUCUUAGGACUAUUCGUUCUUCAUUUAAUUUUUCAAUCUUGUAUGCGCCGUUAGAAAAGACUUGGAUAAUUUACCCACUUAGGGGACCAUUUACGCAAUGCUAUGUCGUUUGGAUCCAUGGGUAGGAUUACUUUCCAAACUAAGUCUUCAAGCGAAAAUGUUUUAAGUUUCACCCUUUUAUUGUAUGCUUUCUCUACUCUCUUUUUCUGCCUCUUUAAUAAAUGGAAGGCUUUUAACCAUUCUUCGUCUAAAUCAACUAACUCGUCCAACAUCAUGUUCCAAUAAGAUUAAGAUGGCAUCUCAUUUUGCCUUUGGACUCUUGUUGAUUGAAGAUAGAUUUUGACUGGUAACACUGCGUCAUGACCAUAUAUCAGUCGAAAAAGGCUUAUUAUUUGUAGCCUCUUUAAGGGAGGUUUAACAUGCCCAUAAAAUAUGGUCCAAUGCCUUAUGCCAAUUCCUUGGCUUUUCCCCAUGUGUUUCUUAAUUAAUCCAAUAACUACCUUAUUUGUUGCUUCGACUUGACCAUUUACCUGAGGAUAAUAAGGUGUAGAUGUCAAUAGCUUGAACCUCAUUUCUUUCGCAAACUCCUGAACCUUUCGACUAGUGAAAACUGAUCCUUGAUCAGUUGUAAUAGUUUAUAGGAUUCCAAACCAAUAAAUGAUGUGCCUUUGGAUGAAUUCGGUAAAUGCCUCUUGAUUAACAUUCGCCAAAGGUAUAACUUCAAUCCAUUUAGUGAAAUAAUAUAUACCCACUAUAAUGUACCUUUGAAUCUUAGAUGAUGCUGGUCGAAUUUCUCCAACUAGAUCCAACGCCCAACCUCUAAAAGGCCAAGGCUUCACAAUGGAGUGUAGUUCAUUUGCAGGGACAUGUUAUAUGCCUGCAUGUGUCUGGCACUCUUGGCUCCCUUUAGAUAACUCAAUACAAUCCUUAAGCAUGGUAGGCCAAUACAUCCCUUGUCGAAACAAUAACCAUUUCAUCUCAUGGCAUAUCUGACGUGCCCCACUAUGGACAAUAGAGAGAGCUAAACAUGCUUUUGAUUUGCUAAGGCACUCGAGUAAAACUCCUUUAGGCAUUUUUUAAAAUAAUUUGUUCCCCAUAAAAUAUAACUUAAAGCGCGAUACCUGACUUUUCAUUCAGCAGAUGUUCUUGGAUUUUCUAAGUAUUCCACUAUUGGCUUUCUCCAAUCUUCGUCUGCCAAACUGUCUAUGACUAGUAUCUCAAAAUUCUCUUCGUCAACAUACCAUAACUUUGUUGUUUCCAAAUCUGUUGGGAAUAAUCUAGUUGAUACAACUCUUCCUCUGACUUCGAUUGCAUCUUACAGUUUUUCUUUUGAAAUUAUGUAUCCUAAAGCAAUUUGGGCCAAGUCAUUGGCCUCUUGGUUCUCAAGUCGAGGUAUGUGUCGAAUGCUUAUCAUUUUGGACCUUCAUAAUAGUCUUUACCUAUUACAGAGUACAUUAUAAGAUUUUCUUUAACACACGUAUACUCCUUUGUUAUUUCUUUUAUGAAUAACUUUGAGUCACCCAUUAUUUCGACUCGAGUUUCCCCCAAUUCCAACAAGAUCUCAAGUCCGACUAUCAAAGCCUCAUAUUCAGCCUCGUUGUUUGAAUAAAGGCCUUUGACCCUGUACUUGAAUUUUAUUGGGAUUUUGUUAGGAGAAAUAAUCAAUACCCCCACACCCCUUUCAUCUUUAUGACUAGAACCAUCAAAGUAUAAUUUCCAAGGUUCAAGCUUGAGAUAAUUUAGGGAGUUUUCGACUAUAGAGUGGUCGAUUAUAAAGUCUGUUAUCACUUGUCCCUUAACAGCCUUUAAAGGCAUGUAAGUUGAAGAAUACUCAGUUAAGGCCAAUGUCCAUUUACCGAUUCAACUAUGUAAAAUUGGUUUCGAUAACAUAUGUUUAAUAGUGUCGGAGUGAGAUGAAACAUAAACAUCAAAUGGCUUUAUAUAAUGCUUCAAUUUUGUAAAUGAGCAAUAUAGACAUAGACAUAACUUUUUGACGGUACUAUAUCUAGUUUCUGCAUCAUUUAAGACUCUACUGAGGUAGUAAAUGGCUCUUUCAAGGUCAUUUGCAUCCUCUUGAGCCAACAUGCUCCCUAAAGUCAUAUCAUAUGCAAAUAUGUACAAUCUCAUACUUCUAUUCAUACAAGGAGGCGCCAGAAUUAGAGGAUGAACAAGGUAGUCUUUGAUCUUGAUGAAAGCCUAUUGUUGCACUUGCCCCUGUUCAAAACCUUCCUUCUUGAGUCGAGGUAGAGAUGAUAAGGCUUAAGUCUUGCCACUUAAGUUUGAGAUGAACCUCCUAAGGAAGUUGAUCUUUCCUAACAACGAUUGUGGUUCCUUCUUCGUUGAUGACGCUUUCGCUUCCAUUAUGGACUUAGUCUUGUUUUGAUUAAUUUCGAUUCCUUUCUUAUAGACCAUAAAGCCUAGAAAAUCCCCAGUCUGCACACAAAAAGCAUAUUUAAGAGGAUUCAUCUUUAGACCAUGUUUCCUCAUUCUUUCGAAUGAUUAUCGAAGAUGGUCUAUAUGACUUCUUUCUGAAAUAGACUUGACCACAAUAUCAUAAAUAUAAAUUUGCAUGAAAGUUUCAAUGAAGUCAUGAAAUAUAGAGUUCAUUGCUCUUUGAUAAGUUGCCCUAACAUUUUUUAGGCCAAAGGGCAUAAUCACCCAUUUAUAGGUGCCUAAGGCGUUGGGGCAUCGAAAUGCCAUUUUUGGCACAUCUUCGUCAGCAAUGAAAAUAUGGUUAUACCCAGAAUAUUCGUCAAGCAUACUAAGAUAUUUGUGCAUUGAGGCCGAAUUAACAAGCAUUUCUGCUACGGGCAUUGGAUAUCCAUCCUUUAGGGUUACAACAUUCAAAUCUCUGAUGUCAAUGCAAACCGUCAGAGUGUUAUUUUUCUUAAUGACUGGUAUAAUGUUAGCAGUCCAUUCGACAUACCUGGUCGUACGAAUGAAACUGCAGUUGAGAAGCCUCUCGACUUCUUCCUUGAUUUUCAAAAGAAUUUCAGGUGCGAAACCCCUUGGAGUUUGUUUGAUUGGCUUCUUCCUAAGCUUUAUAGGAAACUUUAAUUUGACCAGUUCCAUACUUAGACCCGACAUCUCAUCGUAAUCCUAGGCAAAAUAGUCUUUGUACUCCUCCAACAACCGGAUUACUUCGACCUUGAGUUUUGGGCUGACGUUGGCACUUAUGUAUGUUAGCCUUUUGGUUGCCCCAUCUCCCAUAUUGAUUUCUUCUAGCAUCUUUAUUUCAUUUGCCAUCAGAUCCUUUUUGAAACCCAAAGGCUCAUCAUUAUAAAUUGCAUCGAGCCUUUGGCCUUGCACUUCGUCUUGAACCUUAUCAGGUGGUUUUGGCUUGAAGUCCUUACCAGGACCUUCUAAGUGCACUUCAUUCCUUUUGGAUUCAACAAACAUGUAUUUGACUUCAGCCUUUAAGGUCUCUUUUAAUUUGUUUUUGACUAUAUAAGCCGAAAUCUUUUUCAAUGUCUUUGAUUCAGACAUCGUCAUCAAAUUCACUUCCCUAACCAGUUGGUUGGAUUCAUUAUGUUCCUUCGAAUCCCAAAUCUUCCUCACCUACUACCUCACUAUCCCAUUGGAAACCAUGGGUUAUGUAUAGAUAAAGGGAACAAAACGUGUUAUCAAUUGGCGUAAAGUCGAACACUGUAGGAUUGCAAGGUGCAAUGUGUGCCAGGUGUUUGUCAAAGUGCCUUCUAUCCACCUGGUUGACUUUCUUCAUGUAAUAACUUUGGUCUGCUUCUAUAUUAUCCAUUAUUCCAUCGUUUCGCCAGACUGAAAUUCGUCGAUGUAGUGAAGAAAGGACUGCACCGAUACCACGGAUCCUUUCUUGACCUAAAAGUAGAUUAUAAUUGGCAUUUGAUGCUAUGACCAUAAACAUAGUCAGCCUUGUGAUGAUGCCAACUGUGAGGUCCACUUGAAUUACCCCCAUUGUAGUACUAACCUUCCCCUCAUAGUUCGAUAGAACCAUAUUGUGGAGUUUAGUGUCAGUAUCAUCCUUUCCUACUCUUUUCAACAUGUAAUGCGACAUUAAAUUCAUAACCGCUCCACCAUCCAAUAAGAUUUUAUUCACUAUGAUGUUUUCCAUUUUGCCUCUAAUAAAUAAAGGUUUUAAGUGGUUCUUCAUUCCUUCGUCAGGACUUUAAAAAAAGGUCUUUUGCUCUUCCACGCAUCAAAUAUUCAUUACGUAGUAGCAAACUGGCAUAUGCUUGGCCAUUUCCUAAUCAAUUGCAUCCUUAGGUUAUUCUAUCUCCGUAACUUGGUUGUAUUCCCUGGGCAACACAAAUACCAUGUUACACGUGAUAUCCAAUGAUGGCUCUGAAUCUGCGUCGAAAUUAUCCGUCAGCAUAUCAUCUUUUUUUGCUGCUUGGUCAGACUUCUUUGCAGAUUCCACCUUUUGAGAGGAAAAGAGCUUCCUUUCGACAAACUUCUUCUCUUCAUUCAUGUCCAGUUUAAGGGGGACAUUACUACUUGAUUAUGCCUUUGCCAUUUCUCCAGCCUCUCGCUCAACCUUUCUUCUCAUCUGCUGUAUCCUCAACUAAGACCUUGACAUAAGGUUUUUCCCUCUGUAGUUUUCGGAGUGAUAUGCUAGUUGCUUUAAGGUUUGGAAUUACUUACGGUAUGCCAGUGAGGAACCUCUCUCUACUUCAAAGUUUUGCCACUUCUUAUGGCAUUGCUCCCCUCUUUCGACAAGCUUCACCCACUUACCCUCAGGGGCAUCGAUCGUAGGCUUGAAGGUGGAUAGUUUGUAGCCACGGGGGCCUGAUCUUCCUUGCUAUUGCUUCCUGGGUACCCCCUAUUGUCGAAGGCAAAACGAUUGUUGGUGUCUCUCCAGUUUCUCCUAUCUUGGCUAGUCGAACCCCUUCAUUUGAGAGUUCGACAUGUCUCCGAACUUUAGCCUUUUGUAUUUGAUAGCCUUCUGCACAAGACCCCUGAAGAGAAAACAUCGCGAAGUUUUAUGGCCCAAAAAAUUAUGAUACUUACAAAACCCCCUCUUUUUUAUUUGUUCUAAAGGAGAUAUUUUGUCACCAAUAGACACUAUCAUCUGGUCAUCUUUAACUAAUAAAUAGAAAAUCUCGUCACAUUUGGUGACGUCGAAGGUGUAUGUUUUCUUAGGGAAAACAUCACUCUUUUCUGGUUCGACUGGGUCUUUUCCAUUCGAAGGCGCUAGGACUUUGUAGGAGUAAGGUGGUCCUUGCUUCAGUUCAGCGAGGUCAACUUCACUUUCGUCGAAAUUUAAAGGACGACUAUACAUUUUUGGAUCAUUUUCAUCCAAUUCAACAUAGGCUACCCUUUCCCUCCUGUUAUUCUUAUUUGCCCUGCCUUUUUCAGUCUUCAGGCGCUUUACCUGUCAAACUCUAUCAGCCAACUAGACCAUGUCCCUUAGAUAUUGAGUAUCCAGUUUCUUCCUAAUAGAAUAAUCAAGGCCACCAGCGACCAUUUCGAUGAAUUCAUGCUCAGGCACUUGUGUAAAACAUCUGGCCUUAAGAAAAUGGAUUUUAUUCAAAUAAUCAUCUAUUGGCUCAAAUAAUUUUCAUUUAACACUGGCCAAUUUCUUCAAACUGAUGUCGGACUGUUCCAUGUAGAAUUGUUCAUAGAACAACCUUUCCAGUCGAGUCCAAUCAUGGAUUAAAUUUGCUAGCAGCGUGGUGAACCACGUAAAGGCAUUCUUUUUAAGGGAACUUGGUGUAGCACCUCAAAUUUGCACCUACUUCUUGUACAUACAUUCUCAUAUUAGGUCAUAACAUAACAUGGUCCACUGCAUAACAUUGCAUUGUCCCUUUGCCUCAAGUGCAAGCCAGUCAGAAGAAUCUAGACUUAGUCAAACUGGUCAGAGAUCAGUCAAUCAAGCAAGCAAGUGCAAUUUUCAUUGAGCCAAGGCCCUAGGGUUGAUCCAACAUGUUCACACGACCUUGGGAUCCAUUUGAAGUAGUUUGGCCAAAGAUGGAGUUCAGACAGUCAUCAGUCAAUGCACACGUUUACCAAACCCUAAAAGUCAACCUUGGUCAACUGGGCUUGAUUUUAUGAUUUGAUGGGAUUUGGUUUGAGAGGUUCAUUCAUGUCGCUAUAGGCUCAUAUAACAUGUCAAACACCAUCAUGGAAGAUUUGAAGUCGGCAAAAAGUUUCUAAAAAUGGCAGGUGACCUGUAAUUUUAACUGCCAAAUGGAAAGUCUUGAUCCUCAACUUACAUCAUGAUACAAGCUUCAAAUGAAUUUUGCCCAACAUGAAAGUUGAAGAUAUUGUUCUCCCAUUUCCAAAAGUCAAGAACACUCAAUUCCAUGUAUGGUUGGAAGUUAUGAUCAAAUCAUUUUCAGAAAUUCUUUGAACUUCAAAAGGCCAUAUCUCUCAAACCAUUUGGCCAAAUUGUGGUGGGUUUUUUGCAACAGUCACAUUUGAUCCCUCUUUCCAAAUAUGCACACAUCAUUCACCAAAACAUUCAAUCAAAUGGCAUUUUUGACUACCCAUGAUUUAUAAAGUGAGGAAAAAUGAGUUUCAAAAUUAACCACUUCAACCAAUUUACUACAAUCAAAUAUGUUCAGAAAUCAUAUUUGGACAUGUUCAAGGCCCAUUUUCGUGCAGUACAUACAACCCAUUACCAACUUGCUUGAAAUUGGCAAAAGGACACUUCUUCAACC
rnacentral:lncRNA from 1 species